UACGGAGGAUCCGAGCGUUAUCCGGAUUUAUUGGGUUUAAAGGGUGCUCAGGCGGGCCAUUAAGUCGGCGGUGAAAUUUUGCGGCUCAACCGUAAAAGUGCCUUCGAUACUGGUGGUCUUGAGUGUGGAUGAGGUAGGCGGAAUUUGUGGUGUAGCGGUGAAAUGCAUAGAUAUCACGAGGAACUCCGAUUGCUAAGGCAGCUUACUAAGCCAUAACUAACGCUCAAGCACGAAGGCGUGGGGAUCAAACAGGAUUAGAUACCCUGGUAGU
rnacentral:rRNA from 1 species